rfam:Myotis brandtii contig193754, whole genome shotgun sequence.
CCAGCAGCCCCUUUUCUUCCAGACCAAAGGGUGUGCACCCGCCCGGGGAUGAGGCCUGGUCUGUGGAAUUGAACUUAGCUCCGCGGGCCGACGGCUCGGCCCAGGGUGGUAUGCAAC